UACGUAGGGGGCAAGCGUUGUCCGGAUUUAUUGGGCGUAAAGAGCGUGUAGGCGGUUCUGUAGGUCCGUUGUGAAAACUCGAGGCUCAACCUCGAGACGCCGAUGGAAACCAUCGAACUAGAGUCCGGAAGAGGAGAGUGGAAUUCCUGGUGUAGCGGUGAAAUGCGCAGAUAUCAGGAAGAACACCCGUGGCUAAGGCGGCUCUCUAGUACGGUACUGACGCUGAGACGCGAAAGCGUGGGGAGCGAACAGG
rnacentral:rRNA from 1 species